UACGUAGGGUGCGAGCGUUAAUCGGAAUUACUGGGCGUAAAGCGUGCGCAGGCGGUUCGUUGUGUCGGCGGUGAAAGCCCCGGGCUUAACCUGGGAAUGGCCGUUGAAACUGGCGAACUGGAGUGUGGCAGAGGGGGGUGGAAUUCCGCGUGUAGCAGUGAAAUGCGUAGAGAUGUGGAGGAACACCAAUGGCGAAGGCAGCCUUCUGGGCCAACACUGACGCUCAUGCACGAAAGCGUGGGGAGCAAACAGG
rnacentral:rRNA from 1 species